rnacentral:rRNA from 1 species
AACGAACGCUGGCGGCAUGCCUAACACAUGCAAGUCGAACGAACCCUUCGGGGUGAGUGGCGCACGGGUGCGUAACACGUGGGAACCUGCCCUUAGGUUCGGAAUAACACAGAGAAAUUUGUGCUAAUACCGGAUAAUGUCUUCGGACCAAAGAUUUAUCGCCUUUGGAUGGGCCCGCGUAGGAUUAGCUAGUUGGUGAGGUAAAGGCUCACCAAGGCGACGAUCAUUAGCUGGUCUUAGAGGUGGAUCAGCCACACUGGGACUGAGACACGGCCCAGACGACGACGGGAGGGAGCAGUGGGGAAUAUUGGGCAAUGGGCGGAAGCCUGAUCCAGGAAUGCGGCGUGGGUGAUGAAGGCCUUAGGGUUGUAAAGCCCUUUUACCUGGGAUGAUAAUGACAGUACCAGGAGAAUAAGCCCCGGCUAACUCCGUGCCAGCAGCCGCAGUAAUAC